ACCAACACAAAAACUUCAAAAAUUAAGGCAUUCCUUAUUACAUCCUGUAGAUUUUUAAAAUGUUCAUAGAAAUAAAAUUGAAAGUAAAUGUCAUCUUACAGAAUAUUCUUUCCUGUGAAAAACAAAGAAAUACUUCUUGGCAUUUGUUGCAAUACUGAUGCAUAUUACAGCUAGGAGUCUAAGUUGAAUUAAGACUCCAGUCCUAAAACUCUCUCUUUGACCUUGUAGUUGCUCUUCAAAUACUAUGAGAAGGGAUGCAGUGUUUGCAAACUGGCAGGCGAAAAGAAUAAUAAUGCACAUACGUUCGUCAAGGGUAGACUUUGCAUUCUAGUUGCAAUGCAACUUGUGUCAUGAUAUCAUGCAUUUUGAAUUUAGAAAAAAUGCAUUCAAUCCUGAACAGAACUACAGAAUUUCCCUAUACAAUAGGAAAAAAAAUAAUAAAAUCAGAAAAUGAAAAUUUUCCUCCCUUUCAUAAUGAAGGGAUCAGGACUUUGAAUAAGGUAGUUCUUUCAUCUUUGAAUCCCCACUUAACUAUUCAUUGAUUUUGUGCCAUCAAGUCUGUGUGAAUUCUUAAGGGAUCACAUAGAUAUUUUUCUCCAUGACAUUUAACUAUAGGGCAACUCUAAUAGUUAAGAGUUUGGAAAUGUGAGCCACUCAAUACAAUUUACACUUAUUCUUUCAGCCUCUUGCCACACAGAAUGUCAUAUGAAGCUCAACGUUCAGAUCAGCUGUACAGAUUACUGACAAAAGAAUAUAUAAAAAAAGCUUUGGACACUAUAAAAAAUCACAGGAAGACGAAGACCAAUUCCAUUGACAGGGAAUGCCUAGACGAGACUCCCAUUUUUGCAGGGCCUCCUUGAUAAGGCAUACCGAAAACAGAGGCGACUAAAGUUGAUGUGAAUAACUCAAGUAAAGAUUUGGAGUUUCCCCCACGUUUAGAUUUAUCAUGCAAUUUACUGCCGAAGGUACUUGUUGCUAACGAAUGCCCUCUGGAUGCAUCGACUUCAAGUCUCAAAAUACUUAGCAAUGACCAAGUUCCUAAAUAAAAGACGAUUUUCUCCAAACAAAACCCAUUUCUAUGCCUGAUGCUGACAGGAAUCUCUUUGACAGGCUUUCUCAACUUCAUGCCAUUCAAAAUAUUGGACUACAAUUCCCAUAUCAUAGCCAACCUCAGCUAAGUUAUAGGUAAAGAGGGAUUUCUGCAAUAUCAUAUUUCAGAACUUUUCCCACACAAGUGAAACUCAAACAAAUAUAAACUAAGUAAUUGUUUCACUUUUAUUGGAUGUAAUAUAUAUAUUAGGAGCUUAGUAAUUUAUUUAUUUCUGGGAGGUUACAAACAUUAGAUCUAUGCCUUUUAAUAUGAUAUUUGCUGUCUUAUUUAAUGUUGUAUAAUCAGCCUCAAACUAUGUCCUCAUAUAGAUUUGUAUAGGGACAACAAUAUAUUACAUCACAACUCCUGUCCAAUAAA